rnacentral:other from 1 species
ACUUCCUGAGCCGGAACGAAAAGCGCGAAGGGGAAAUCCUGAUGUGCUUUUGGCUUGUGGUUGUGAUGUUGUGUUUGCUAUUUGUUUAUUGUCUGCCUUUUCAGACACCGGUAGCUCAGCUACUUUUUCACUUCCUGUAUUUACCCUGUCUGUCUAUAGUGAUUUUGUAUAGCACCGCGUACUUGCGGUGCUUUUUUUU